rnacentral:misc_RNA from 1 species
CCGAGUGCGGGCCCUCGCGGCCCAACCUCCCGCCCUUGUCUCUAUACACCUGUUGCUUUGGCGGGCCCACCGGGGCCACCUGGUCGCCGGGGGACGCACGUCUCCGGGCCCGCGCCCGCCGAAGCGCUCUGUGAACCCUGAUGAAGAUGGGCUGUCUGAGUACUGUGAAAAUUGUCA